AUUUGAAGCAGCGACACGACUAAUCCGCUGCUUUCCUGAGAGAGAAUGCAGAUGUUUGAGAGCUCGGCUGCCUGAACUAAUGCGACGAAGCCCCGUAGUGUUCGGCGGCCGACUGUACGAAAUGGCUUUCUGAUAUGUGUAAUAUCUGAGUGCUUUGGGACAAAGUGGAUAUGAGAAAGAGAAAUAUGAAGAAAACAGGAGUAUUCGUCUUGGAAAUGGACGUCGGCGUUCAAAUCAAAUGGCCUUUUGUGUCGGAGACAACGGUGCGAGCUCGGUCAAAUGGAGCAAUUAGGAAAGAACGGCCGUCCUUCGUUGAGGACACGGCAGAAAGAGACGGGGUCGCGCUUCCAGUGAUUUGAGUUUAUUUAUGUGAUGCGUGUCGGCG
ensembl:lncRNA